rnacentral:tRNA from 1 species
UCCCUGGUGGUCCAGUGGCUGAGACUCCAUGUUUCUAACACUGGGGGCCAGGGUUCGAUUCCUGGUCAGGGAA